rnacentral:rRNA from 1 species
UACGUAGGUGGCAAGCGUUGUCCGGAUUUACUGGGUGUAAAGGGCGUGUAGGCGGGUAGGCAAGUCAGAUGUGAAAUACCGAUGCUUAACAUCGGGGCUGCAUUUGAAACUGUUUAUCUUGAGUGCAGGAGAGGAAAGCGGAAUUCCUAGUGUAGCGGUGAAAUGCGUAGAUAUUAGGAGGAACACCAGUGGCGAAGGCGGCUUUCUGGACUGUAACUGACGCUGAGGCGCGAAAGCGUGGGUAGCAAACAGGAUUAGAUACCCUGGUAGUCCACGCUGUAAACGAUGAAUACUAGGUGUAGGGGGUAUCGACCCCUUCUGUGCCGCAGUUAACACAAUAAGUAUUCCACCUGGGGAGUACGAUCGCAAGAUUGAA